rnacentral:rRNA from 1 species
AAUAGAUACCCAGGUAGUCCUAGCCGUAAACGAUACUCGCUAGGUGUCGGCCACGGUGCGACCGUUGUCGGUGCCGUAGGGAAGCCGUGAAGCGAGCCACCUGGGAAGUACGGCCGCAAGGCUGAAACUUAAAGGAAUUGGCGGGGGAGCACCACAACGGGUGGAGCUUGCGGUUUAAUUGGAUUCAACGCCGGAAAUCUUACCGGGACCGACAGCAAUAUGAAGGCCAGGCUGAAGACUUUGCCGGAUUAGCUGAGAGGUGGUGCAUGGCCGUCGUCAGUUCGUACUGUGAAGCAUCCUGUUAAGUCAGGCAACGAGCGAGACCCACGCCCACAGUUGCCAGCGUACUCUCCGGAGUGACGGGUACACUGUGGGGACCGCCGCUGCUAAAGCGGAGGAAGGAAUGGGCAACGGUAGGUCAGUAUGCCCCGAAUAUCCCGGGCUACACGCGAGCUACAAUGGUUGGUACAAUGGGUAUCUACCCCGAAAGGGGAUGGAAAUCUCCUAAAGCCAAUCUUAGUUCGGAUUGAGGGCUGCAACUCGCCCUC